rnacentral:rRNA from 1 species
GAUGAACGCUGGCGGCGUGCCUAAUACAUGCAAGUCGAGCGAACGGACGAGAAGCUUGCUUUUCUGAUGUUAGCGGCGGACGGGUGAGUAACACGUGGAUAACCUACCUAUAAGACUGGGAUAAGUUCGGGAAACCGGAGCUAAUACCGGUAAAUAUUUUGAACCGCAGGGUUCAAAAGUUAAAGACGGUCUUGCUUUCACUUAUAGAUGGAUCCGGUAUGCAUUAGCUAGUUGGUAAGGGAACGGAUUACCAAGGCAACGCUGCAGAGCCGACCUGAGAGGGUGAUCGGCCACCCUGGAACUGAGACACGGUCCAGACCCCUACGGGAGGCAGCAGUAGGGAAUCUUACGCAAUGGGAGAAAGCCUGACGGAGCAACGCCGCGUGAGUGAUGGAGGUCUUCGGAUCGUAAAACUCUGUUAUUAGGGAAGAACAUAUGUGUAAGUAACUGUGCACAUCUUGACGGUACCUAAUCAGAAAGCCACGGCUAACUACGUG